GAUGAACGCUGGCGGCGUGCCUAAUACAUGCAAGUCGAGCGAACGGACGAUAAUCUUGCUUCUCUGAUGUUAGCGGCGGACGGGUGAGUCACACGUGUAUACCCUCCCUAUAAUACUGGUAUCACUUCGGAAAACCGGCGCUAAUCCCGUAUAAUAUUUUGCACCGCGUGGUUCAAAAGUGAAUUACGGUCUUGCUGUCACUUCUCGAUGCUUCCGCGCUGCAUUAGAUGGUUGUUAAGGUAACGGCUUACCAAGGCAACGAUGCAUAGCCGACGUGCGGGGGUGAUAGCCCACCUGAGAAGUGAGACACGGACAAGACGACUAAGGGAGGCAGCAGUAGGGAAUCUUACGCAAUGGGCGAAAGCAUGACGGAGCAAGGCCGAGUGAGUGAUGAAGGCCUCCGGAUCGUAAAACUCGGUUAUGAGGGAAGAACAGAUGUGGAAGGAAAUGUGCACAGCGUGACGGUAACUAAUAAGAAAGCCACGGCUAACUACGUG
rnacentral:rRNA from 1 species